rnacentral:rRNA from 1 species
GGGGAUAUUGGACAUGGGCGAAAGCCUGAUCCAGCCAUGCCGCGUGUGUGAAGAAGGUCUUCGGAUUGUAAAGCACUUUAAGUUGGGAGGAAGGGCAGUAAGUUAAUACCUUGCUGUUUUGACGUUACCAACAGAAUAAGCACCGGCUAACUUCGUGCCAGCAGCCGCGGUAAUACGAAGGGUGCAAGCGUUAAUCGGAAUUACUGGGCGUAAAGCGCGCGUAGGUGGUUCAGCAAGUUGGAGGUGAAAUCCCCGGGCUCAACCUGGGAACUGCCUCCAAAACUACUGAGCUAGAGUAC